GAGAGAAAUAACUGAAAAGGAUGAUUAAAUUGUGAAGUUUUUGUUUUCUAUUUCCUUUUUCAGAAAUGACUAAAUAGGCAAACUCUUGUAUGAAUAAGUUAAGUUGAUGACUUGUGGUUGCCCAGUAAUGGCUCAGGUUUUUUUAAAAGAAAACCAUUAUAUUAAAGUUAGUAAUGCAUUUCCUGACAGCCCUUCAAUAAACAAUAGAACCACACUGGGACUGAUUUUUAGGAAAUUUCUUGUUGAUUUGUAAGGGACUUACGGUCAGUUCUUCUUUGAAUAUGAAUUUGCACAGGAGUGGAAGACAAACGUUAUCUGAUACCAUUUCAGGAAGCAGAAACUGAACAAUGUUUCUAGGUCAUGUCCCCACAGAACUUAAGGAAACUUCUAGAGGCUUUCCAUGAGGUCAGAACCUCAGUGUACUCCUGUCCUAAAUUGUACUUGGACUCUAACAGAAAGCUUUCCAGAAUGCCAAGUGACUUGUCUGCCAUAGUGCAAUCAUUGACCCUGCCACUCUCAUGGAGAACAGAAGAGGAGGAAGAGGUCCAUGAAAGUGAAGAGGAGUCUGCUGAUGUAGUCCUCAAGCUUGUAUACUCUUCAUCUAAAAGCUAUGGCAGAAGAGGAGGAAAACUGUAACUGUGGAAAUGGUCAAGAAACUGAACCAGGACUAGUUUCAGGUUGGCAACAGAGCAUAUAGACCCAGAACCUCUCAGCUAGGCAAGUAAUGCACAUCACUUACAUAACACUGUGUUUAUUCUGGG
rnacentral:lncRNA from 1 species